rnacentral:rRNA from 1 species
CCUACGGGAGGCAGCAGUGGGGAAUUUUGGACAAUGGGCGCAAGCCUGAUCCAGCAAUGCCGCGUGCAGGAAGAAGGCCUUCGGGUUGUAAACUGCUUUUGUCAGGGAAGAAAUCCUCUAGGCUAAUACCUUGGGGGGAUGACGGUACCUGAAGAAUAAGCACCGGCUAACUACGUGCCAGCAGCCGCGGUAAUACGUAGGGUGCGAGCGUUAAUCGGAAUUACUGGGCGUAAAGCGUGCGCAGGCGGCUUUGCAAGACAGAUGUGAAAUCCCCGGGCUCAACCUGGGAACUGCAUUUGUGACUGCAAGGCUAGAGUACGGCAGAGGGGGAUGGAAUUCCGCGUGUAGCAGUGGAAUGCGUAGAUAUGCGGAGGAACACCGAAUGGCGAAGGCAAUCCCCUGGGCCUGUACUGACGCUCAUGCACGAAAGCGUGGGGAGCAAACAGGAUUAGAUACCCUGGUAGUCCACGCCCUAAACGAUGUCAACUGGUUGUUGGACGGCUUGCUGUUCNGUAACGAGCUAACGCGUGAAGUUGACCGCCUGGGGAGUACGGCCGCAAGGUUGAAACGUCAAAUGAAUUGACGG